GACGAAGGGGGUUAGCGUUGUUCGGAAUUACUGGGCGUAAAGCGCGUGUAGGCGGUUGUCCAAGUUGGAUGUGAAAGCCUUGAGCUCAACUCAAGAAAUGCAUUCAGGACUGGAUGACUAGAGGACCGGAGAGGAUAGUGGAAUUCCCAGUGUAGUGGUGAAAUACGUAGAGAUUGGGAAGAACACCAGUGGCGAAGGCGGCUAUCUGGACGGUUUCUGACGCUAAGACGCGAAAGCGUGGGGAGCAAACAGG
rnacentral:rRNA from 1 species